UACAAAAAUAGUUAAAUACUAAUUAAACACAGUAAUCAUAACCUCGCGGCGUUCCUUCUAGAAUAAGUGAGUCUACUACUACGCUGCAGGUCACUCCUUGAUGGGUGGCAAUCAAGGCUACCAUCACCUUUCGAUUAUUACGUGACGCCAUUUUUGACCUCUUGUUGAACUGAGAGCGAGGGUGUGAUGGAUUGUUUUGCCCGCAAGACCAGCCAUAUCCUAUUCCACCAAUCACUCCCCACACGACAUCUACUUCAUAUCUAACCAUUCGGUCAGUAUCUAUUUAAUGAUAGAAAGGAAAAUCUGGAGGAGAUUUGGACCAGCUGGCGGAAAAGCAUCCAAAAGAAAGCAAUAUGAAGCUGGGCUGGAACUAUCUUUCUAUCAACAAUCUGCUGGAAUCUUCGGAUAGAAAAAGAAUAAUCGUGCAUU
rnacentral:lncRNA from 1 species